rnacentral:rRNA from 1 species
GAUUAUGGCUCAGAUUGAACGCUGGCGGCAUGCCUUACACAUGCAAGUCGACGGUAACAGGUCUUCGGAUGCUGACGAGUGGCGAACGGGUGAGUAAUACAUCGGAACGUGCCCGAUCGUGGGGGAUAACGAAGCGAAAGCUUUGCUAAUACCGCAUACGAUCUACGGAUGAAAGCAGGGGGACCGCAAGGCCUUGCGCGAACGGAGCGGCCGAUGGCAGAUUAGGUUGUUGGUGGGGUAAAAGCCCACCAAGCCGACGAUCUGUAGCUGGUCUGAGAGGACGACCAGCCACACUGGGACUGAGACACGGCCCAGACUCCUACGGGAGGCAGCAGUGGGGAAUUUUGGACAAUGGGCGAAAGCCUGAUCCAGCCAUGCCGCGUGCGGGAAGAAGGCCUUCGGGUUGUAAACCGCUUUUGUCAGGGAAGAAACGCUCCGGGAUAAUACCCUGGGGUAAUGACGGUACCUGAAGAAUAAGCACCGGCUAACUACGUG